UACAUAGGGGGCAAGCGUUGUCCGGAUUUAUUGGGCGUAAAGAGCGUGUAGGCGGCCAGGUAGGUCCGUUGUGAAAACUCGAGGCUCAACCUCGAGACGUCGGCGGAAACCCUCUGGCUAGAGUCCGGAAGAGGAGAGUGGAAUUCCUGGUGUAGCGGUGAAAUGCGCAGAUAUCAGGAAGAACACCCGUGGCGAAGGCGGCUCUCUGGGACGGUACUGACGCUGAGACGCGAAAGCGUGGGGAGCAAACAGG
rnacentral:rRNA from 1 species